UUAUAUUCUAAAACGAAGCUGCUAGUUCCGGUGGGAUCUCUUCCCCUUCUACGCAUCCGCUGCUGCUGCUGAUGCUCCACCUCCACCUCCAACAACAAUUGCAAAAGAUAAUGGAGGCAUAAAGUCCGAUACUGUCGUGAUUAUAGUUGUUCCUGUGGUCAGCUUUCUGUUACUUGUUACUUUCACGUACAUCCUUUUCAGGAGAAGGAAACAAAGGCACCGGAGCAUAAAUGUUCCUGAAGGAAACGAAGAAAGUGCGCCUACUGUUGAAUCCUUGCAAUUUCGACAUUGAGACUAUAAAGGUGGCAACAAGUAAUUUCUCUGAUGAUAAUAAGCUUGGCGAAGGUGGAUUCGUCACCGUUUAUAAGGUAAUUAAAUAUUAUAUCAUUUCUUAAAGUUGAACCAAGACUUUCAAUUUCUCUUUUGUUCCUUUCAGCGUAGACUUCCUGAUGGACCAGACAUAGCUGUGAAGAGGUGGUCAAGAAAUUCUAGACAAGGAGAAGUUGAAUUUUAAAAUGAGGUCCAAUUAGUUGCCAUGCUUCAACACAGAAACUUGGUUAGGCUUCUAGGUUUCUGCCUAUAGGAAAGGGAGAAGCUUCUCAUCUAUGAGUUUGUUCCCAACUCAAGCCUUGACCGUUACAUUUUGGGUAUAAUUAGUUCCUGCUCUCAACUUCAACUGUGCUCUUUUUACAUUUCCUUGAGAAACUCAUUGUUGAGCUGGAUGAUUGGAUUUCUUCAUCAUCAUCAAAAAUAUCUUCCCUGUUUACAAAAUCUUCAAUGUCAGUGUCUUAAUACUCAUAUCAAUUCAAUUCAUUACAUUACUGUCAAAAAAUAUAUAGUAAAGUUUAAAAAUUAAAAAAAAAAAAAAAAAAAAAA